AAUGGGGGAAACCCUGACGCAGCCAUGCCGCGUGGGUGAAGAAGGCCUUCGGGUUGUAAAGCCCUUUCAACGGUGAAGAUGAUGACUGUAGCCGUAGAAGAAGCCCCGGCUAACUUCGUGCCAGCAACCGCGGUAAUACGAAGGGGGCUAGCGUUGUUCGGAAUUACUGGGCGUAAAGGGCGCGUAGGCGGACUGACCAGUCAGGGGUGAAAUCCCGAGGCUCAACCUCGGAACUGCCUUUGAUACUGUCAGUCUAGAGUCUGUGAGAGGAUGACGGAAUACCCAGUGUAGAGGUGAAAUUCGUAGAUAUUGGGUAGAACACCGGUGGCGAAGGCGGUCAUCUGGCGCAGCACUGACGCUGAGGCGCGAAAGCGUGGGGAGCAAACAGGAUU
rnacentral:rRNA from 1 species